rnacentral:rRNA from 1 species
AUUGAACGCUGGCGGCAUGCUUUACACAUGCAAGUCGAACGGUAACAGGCCGCAAGGUGCUGACGAGUGGCGAACGGGUGAGUAAUGCAUCCGAACGUGCCCAGUCGUGGGGGAUAACUACUCGAAAGAGUAGCUAAUACCGCAUACGAUCUAUGGAUGAAAGCGGGGGACCGUAAGGCCUCGCGCGAUUGGAGCGGCCGAUGUCAGAUUAGGUAGUUGGUGGGGUAAAGGCUCACCAAGCCAACGAUCUGUAGCUGGUCUGAGAGGACGACCAGCCACACUGGGACUGAGACACGGCCCAGACUCCUACGGGAGGCAGCAGUGGGGAAUUUUGGACAAUGGGCGCAAGCCUGAUCCAGCAAUGCCGCGUGCAGGAAGAAGGCCUUCGGGUUGUAAACUGCUUUUGUACGGAACGAAACGGCUCUGGUUAAUACCCGGGGCUAAUGACGGUACCGUAAGAAUAAGCACCGGCUAACUACGUG